rnacentral:ncRNA from 17 species
UUUGAAUUCGAAGGACCUCUCCUCCUCCCUGGUCCUUUGAAGAUAGCGGCGACUUCCUCCUCCUCCCUGAAGUCGCCGCAGUAAUACGGGCUUAGAGCCCAGACAUACGAAGCCUCUCUC